rnacentral:rRNA from 2 species
GCGGCGGACGGGUGAGUAAUGCCUAGGAAUCUGCCUGGUAGUGGGGGAUAACGUUCGGAAACGGACGCUAAUACCGCAUACGUCCUACGGGAGAAAGCAGGGGACCUUCGGGCCUUGCGCUAUCAGAUGAGCCUAGGUCGGAUUAGCUAGUUGGUGAGGUAAUGGCUCACCAAGGCGACGAUCCGUAACUGGUCUGAGAGGAUGAUCAGUCACACUGGAACUGAGACACGGUCCAGACUCCUACGGGAGGCAGCAGUGGGGAAUAUUGGACAAUGGGCGAAAGCCUGAUCCAGCCAUGCCGCGUGUGUGAAGAAGGUCUUCGGAUUGUAAAGCACUUUAAGUUGGGAGGAAGGGUUGUAGAUUAAUACUCUGCAAUUUUGACGUUACCGACAGAAUAAGCACCGGCUAACUCUGUGCCAGCAGCCGCGGUAAUA